rnacentral:rRNA from 1 species
GGGGAAUUUUGGACAAUGGGGGCAACCCUGAUCCAGCAAUGCCGCGUGAGUGAAGAAGGCCUUCGGGUUGUAAAGCUCUUUUGUCAGGGAAGAAAAGGGUCUGGCUAAUAUCCAGAUCUGCUGACGGUACCUGACGAAUAAGCACCGGCUACCUACGUGCCAGCAGCCGCGGUAAGACGUAGGAUGCAAGCGUUGUCCGGAUUUAUUGGGCGUAAAGAGUUCGUAGGCGGUUUGUUAAGUCUGAUGUUAAAGACUGGGGCUCAACCCUGGGACCGCAUUGGAUACUGGCAGACUCGAGUGCAGUAGAGGCAAGUGGAAUUCCCAGUGUAGCGGUGAAAUGCGUAGAUAUUGGGAAGAACACCGGUGGCGCAAGCGACUUGCUGGGCUGUAACUGACGCUGAGGAACGAAAGCUAGGGUAGCGAAU